rnacentral:rRNA from 1 species
GAUGAACGCUAGCGACAGGCUUAACACAUGCAAGUCGAGGGGCAGCAUAGAAGUAGCAAUACUUUGGUGGCGACCGGCGCACGGGUGAGUAACGCGUAUGCAACCUACCUAUCAGAGGGGAAUAACCCGGCGAAAGUCGGACUAAUACCGCAUAAAACAGGGGCACCGCAUGGUGAUAUUUGUUAAAGAAAUUCGCUGAUAGAUGGGCAUGCGUUCCAUUAGGUAGUUGGUGAGGUAACGGCUCACCAAGCCGACGAUGGAUAGGGGAACUGAGAGGUUGGUCCCCCACACUGGUACUGGGACACGGACCAGACUCCUACGGGAGGCAGCAGUGAGGAAUAUUGGUCAAUGGGCGGGAGCCUGAACCAGCCAAGUCGCGUGAAGGAAGAAGGAUCUAUGGUUCGUAAACUUCUUUUGCAGGGGAAUAAAGUGCAGGACGUGUCCUGUUUUGUAUGUACCCUGAGAAUAAGGAUCGGCUAACUCCGUGCCAGCCGCCGCGGUAAAAC